rnacentral:rRNA from 1 species
UAAUACCGGAUAAUAUUUUGAACUGCAUAGUUCGAAAUUGAAAGGCGGCUUCGGCUGUCACUUAUGGAUGGACCCGCGUCGCAUUAGCUAGUUGGUGAGGUAACGGCUCACCAAGGCAACGAUGCGUAGCCGACCUGAGAGGGUGAUCGGCCACACUGGGACUGAGACACGGCCCAGACUCCUACGGGAGGCAGCAGUAGGGAAUCUUCCGCAAUGGACGAAAGUCUGACGGAGCAACGCCGCGUGAGUGAUGAAGGCUUUCGGGUCGUAAAACUCUGUUGUUAGGGAAGAACAAGUGCUAGUUGAAUAAGCUGGCACCUUGACGGUACCUAACCAGAAAGCCACGGCUAACUACGUGCCAGCAGCCGCGGUAAUACGUAGGUGGCAAGCGUUAUCCGGAAUUAUUGGGCGUAAAGCGCGCGCAGG